AAGUCGUAACAAGGUUUCCGUAGGUGAACCUGCGGAAGGAUCAUUAACACGUAUCCAACGUUAAACAACCCUGUGAACUUUCAGCGCUCUUGUAGCCCCGGAGGAACAGCAAUCCCGGUAAAUCAAAUGGCGGAAAGAGUUUUGAUUCGGGACCUCUGUCCAAAAGGUAUCAAGUUACAAUCGAGCAGAGCAGUGGCAUGGUUUCCCUAAGCAGUGCAGAAGGAUCCACUGAGUAAGGAUAACGCAUCACGGUUGCCAGAGGUCGAUCACCGGCCGGCAGACAUGUCACCCCUUGCCUAAUCAAGCCUCGCGGAAACGCCGGGCAUAAAAACCGAACAACUGUUAACAAUGGAUAUCUUGGUUCUC
rnacentral:misc_RNA from 1 species